rnacentral:rRNA from 1 species
AGCGAACGCUGGCGGCAGGCCUAACACAUGCAAGUCGAACGAAGUCUUCGGACUUAGUGGCGGACGGGUGAGUAACACGUGGGAACGUACCUUUUGGUUCGGAACAACUCAGGGAAACUUGAGCUAAUACCGGAUGAGCCCUUAGGGGGAAAGAUUUCUCGCCGAAAGAGCGGCCCGCGUUAGAUUAGCUAGUUGGUGAGGUAAAGGCUCACCAAGGCUACGAUCUAUAGCUGGUCUGAGAGGAUGAUCAGCCACACUGGGACUGAGACACGGCCCAGACUCCUACGGGAGGCAGCAGUGGGGAAUCUUGCGCAAUGGGCGAAAGCCUGACGCAGCCAUGCCGCGUGAAUGAUGAAGGUCUUAGGAUUGUAAAAUUCUUUUACCAGGGACGAUAAUGACGGUACCCGGAGAAAAAGCCCCGGCUAACUUCGUGCCAGCAGCCGCCGUAAAAC